rnacentral:misc_RNA from 1 species
UUUACGUUUAAAAAUGAAAACAAAACAUAAAACUUCCAUGCUUUUCACAAAAUUGAUCUGUUCACUGUUUCACUGAACAGAAUCUGUCAUAGCUGAUAACAUAAGCUCUCUUUCUAUAUGUUAACGUUUGAUACUUAUCUAAGUAUAUUAUUAUUCUUAUUAUUUUCUUCAAUGGUAUCAAAUCAAUUGUAGCUGCAUUGGCUUUCUUGUUGUAUAGAGGAAGGUGAAUGUUCUCUAUAGUACUAAAUGAUUGAUGGGUAUGGCUCUGUUGCUGCUGAAAAAUAUGCUAAUUGUUGCAAAAAGAAUGGGUCAAGUCAGUAGAAUAAUUCAACUCCAAGAAGUUAGGAGACUUGUUACUAACAAAGAUGUUAUUGACAGCAUUUCAGUUGAUCAUUUAAAUGUUUGAUUUUAGCAUAGCUCAAAAUCUUGGAUAAUUAAUGCAUUCUGUCAAUAAAAUAAGAUCAGUCUCAUUAUAAGCCUUUUCUUUGUGAGCACCUAUUUCUAUCAAAAACCAAUAAAUGGUAUCACAGCUUAAUUCUUGAGUUACUUGUGAGAUUACUAAAACACCAAGCCAUAAAACACAAAUAAAAAUCAGAACCUAGCCAUAUUUCUUGUGGGAUCUCUGGGUCUCUUAGUUAGGAGAGUUGUUACUAACAAAGCUGUUAUUGACAUUACUUCAGUUGAUCAUUUGAAUGUUUGAUUUUAGCAGAGUUUUAUGGAUUCAGUUGCUCAAAGUCUUUGUAUAAAUAAUGACUUCUAUCAAUAAAAUAAAAUCAGAUAUUUUCAGUCUCAUCUUAUCUUACCGA